rnacentral:rRNA from 1 species
UGGGGAAUAUUGCACAAUGGGCGGAAGCCUGAUGCAGCGACGCCGCGUGAGGGAUGACGGCCUUCGGGUUGUAAACCUCUUUCAGUAGGGACGAAGCGUAAGUGACGGUACCUGCAGAAGAAGCACCGGCUAACUACGUGCCAGCAGCCGCGGUAAUACGUAGGUGGCGAGCGUUAUCCGGAUUUACUGGGCGUAAAGGGCGUGUAGGCGGCUAGAUAAGUGUGAUGUUUAAAUCCAAGGCUUAACCUUGGGGUUCAUUACAAACUGUUUAGCUUGAGUGCUGGAGAGGAUAGUGGAAUUCCUAGUGUAGCGGUAAAAUGCGUAGAUAUUAGGAGGAACACCGGUGGCGAAGGCGGCUAUCUGGACAGUAACUGACGCUGAGGCGCGAAAGCGUGGGGAGCAAACAGG